ACUCCUGUUCUUGGCAGGCCCCGGCCGCCCUGUGCCCGGGUCUGUGAUGUCCGGAGGUAGAGCAGCGACUCUUUCACAGGC
rnacentral:snoRNA from 1 species